ensembl:lncRNA
UGCCAGAAUUCCACUCUCCAGUCACCAGGGACUCAGGUAUUACUAUACAAUUGGUAAACACAAUGGUAUACUUAAUGCUUGAGAGAGGAAUGAGGGGUAAACAUUCCUUAGACUCUUACUAUUGAGGAAACCAGACCAGCCAUUCAAGUGAUGAAGACUGUGUCAUCCAACUAAUAACUCCUGGCGGUGACUCUGAAAGCCAAGAGAAGUUUUCUUUCAAACAAGAAGUGUUUUGGAGUCUGAACAACUUUGCAUUUAGACAGUGCAGCUUUCAGUUCCAGAUCUUGGCUGUGGGGCAAGCAGAGGGUGUGGCAGACUUUGCCACAGGGCAGU